rnacentral:lncRNA from 1 species
GUAUUUGAUAUAUAAUGUAAAAAUCUAUCAACUGUAUUUAAAAUUAAUUUAUUAAAACUUGGUCAAAUAUACCAUUCAAUUUUACUUACCAUUAUCUUUUCCAUUUCUCAUGACAAACCAAAAAAAGAGACCCUUUCAGAGACUAACUGAUGACAAACUUUUGGCAAUUCUACUUGUGGCCUCUCUUUCCCAGUCAUUUUGAGCUCUCCGCUCCAGGGAACUGCCCUCGUCCUCUCUCCCCUGUCUCUGGUCUUUCCAACAUUAACACACCAUUUGCAGAACUAACAAGAUUCUCUAAGAUACGGAGCGUAUCAUCGUCCAAAUUAAAAACUCACACAGAGAUAUCUAGUGCCUACAGAAAAAAGCAAAAAGCCUCAAUAUGGACCUGCGAAAACCAGUCCAACCUAUAGGGAAAGGCACAAUUCCUCCCCAAACUGCCAAACACUCAGCCUUUCACAACGAAUUCCAGGAUCCCAAUCAUGUUAUGAAUGGUUAAAACCUGUACCUCUUUGCCCUAAAUACUCUCCUUCUAUUCCAGGUAAAUACCAAUUGAGAUUAUUCAAAAGCAAUUUGCUAUGUUAGUUGAUGAAAACUUCAAAAUGCCCCUAAAAACAUCAUUCUCUUCCACCUUCACCAUUUCCCCUGUAGCAUGAUUGAUUACGUGUUAGGUUCAUAGAUAAAGAGCUUCUCUCCCCGAACUGACUUGAAAUUCCAGAGAACUAGGGAAAUAAAUGUGUGCCCCUCACACAACACACAGCUGGUGCCCAAUAAAUAUUUGUUUAAUGAAUGAGAAUAUAAAACAAUAUCUUGGCCGAGCAUACCAAGUAACCUAGAAGAAAAAAGCUUUACAUGUCCUCUAUAUAUCGCUGCUAUCAUUUCUAUAGCACACAUUUUUGAACUAUAAAAACUCAACAUUUUCAAGUUUUCAAACAGCACGAGGCCUUUAUGAGGACCCUUUCCAUCUCAAAGCCUAUAAAUCCUAUGGAAAAAAUAAAUUUCCACAUCUCCGAAUAUAGUAAAAUUGUGUUUAUAUGGAAACACUGGCACCACAUUUCAGUAGAAAACUUUUUUUGGCACUUAUUCACAGGGAGCAAUAAAUCAUUUCCUUCUGCGAAUGAAUGUUAUUGUGGGUGGGCCUUUUCUACAGAGAAAAUAUUUGGAUUCAAAAGUUCCCUCCCUGGCCCUGGAGAAAGUUGUCAUGACCAAGGUAUCAAGGCUUAGCAGUUCUUAAACUUAGGAAUUUUGUACUCCAACAUUCAGUAUAACCUUGAUUUUUAAAAGAGCCAUUAAUUCUCUUAGGAAUCAGCCCAGACUGGGGUGUGAUAGCCCUACUGGAGUCAUUUUAUUCAUGAAUGAAAAGCAACAGUGAUGAAGGAAGACUGAGAUGAAGUUGACUAUCUAUGGGCAAGCACACAUACUAUAUUCCCAGUCCCUGCCAGGUACCUGAGGACCUAUGAAUGAGUUCCAGCCAAUGAGAUGUGGGCAAAAUACGGGCAGCCGCUCCAGGCCUGGACCAUGAGAACUUCCAAUGUGCAAUUUCCCUGCUCCCUCCCCUCAGCUGGCUUGAAGCACAUAAGGACCAUGGAAGCCGUACAUGUAAAAUGAUGGAGCCAUAAAAUAAGAUCAGCCCAGGUCCUUGAAUCAUUAACCCAAGAACCAUCCACCAGUCAGAAAAACUCUUGUGAACUGUAUGUGAAUAUGAAAUUUACUUCUAUUUUUUCUAAUGGUUGAGCACUAUAUAUCUUAAGAUAUCAUCAUUAUGCAACAGUUAGCAUUAUUGUAAGUAAAUACACUAAGUCUAAAAAUAAUUUGAGAACUUUUCAUUAAUAAGUCUUCAAACACCUUUAUUAUGUUACCUUUUUCUCAUUUCAUAAGGAGAUGAAGAACAUCGCAUUUUUCCUUGUAACCACUAACCUUUCUACCCAAUCUGCCUAUAUUAUGCACUAUAAAGGAAUUUUACAUACAAAUUAUAUUUACAUACUAUAUGCUAUUAACUAAGAUACCUGAUCCUUGCUUUGUAUCUAUAAAGCAUGUAAGUAAUUUAUAUAUAAAUGUAAAAUGUAUAAAGUAUAAGCUAUCUAUUACACACAAUAUGUAAAUAAAACAGUAUCUGAUCCCUGUUGUAAAGAAUCAUGCUCAACUAUCCCAAUGAGCAUCAAUUAAUUACCCUAUCAUGUGCCUGACACUGAGGAAGACACCCAACACUCAACAAGGAUCAACAUCAUAAUGCCCUUUUUCCUACAGCAGAAAAGCGGACUGGUAUUCUCGAGUCCUUCGGAUCCUUAGCCACUGUUUCUAAAACACACUUGUUUCACUCUUCAGAAAGAAGAAAAAAAGUUAUUGAUGCAGACUACGGUUUCUCUUUUCUACAAGCUGGCAGGAAGAGACAGCACAGUGCAUACAAAAGAGAGAGAAAAAAAAUUAAGGAAAAAAAGCAUUUAAUGAGAAUAUUUAGUAAAUGAGAAGAAAACACCUAUAACUAGACAAAUUGGUUACUUGUACUCGUCUUACAGUCAGGAUGACCCUCAGAGACUUGAAAGUGACAUUAUCUAAAGCUUACACAUAGUAAAAGAACUGAUGUGCUAUACAUUUCUCAGAGUCACAGUAACCUCAUUUCAAGAGAACUUAUGGUUUGUUUGUUUUUUUAAUUAUAAUGGUAUAAAGGGAGUCAAACUAGAAAGUGUUCAAAAAAGAAUAAUUUCACAUGAUGUCUUACCUACAUACAAUACUCAAGGAACAAGCAUCUAUUAAGCUCUCCUCAUGUGCCCAUAACACACUGCUGCUACUCUAAAAUUUGAUUAAAAUAGUAUAAAAAGUAAGCAAAAAUCAGUGGUCAAAUGGGUUGACCUAUAGUAUCAAAGAAGUGUAGAAUUCGUGUGUUUUUAAAUACUCAAUUAGCAAAAACUUCUGAAAAUUUAAGCAAGGUCAAUGCUAAAGGGUUAAAAUAAAACAGGAAUUCUGAUACACUGCCAGUCCUGACAAAAAUAACCACAAUCCCUUUAGACAGUGAUUUUGAAAAUUUCUAUCUAGGAUCUUAUAACUUAGGUUUCUUUGAACAUUAAAAUUCUACCUUUGGAAACUAGCCUAAGGAAAAAAUCAUAACCAAAUAAAAAACUAUGUGCCAAAAAUGUUCAUCUCAACAAUACUUCCAAUAAAAAAAAAAAAUGCAACUCAACUAAAUUUGUAACGGCACUGGACUGGCUGAGUGAAUUAUGGUACACCAGCAGGAUGUAACAUUAAGCAGUCAUUUAAGUCACACUUAGAAUAGAUGAGCAGGGACUGGUCUAGUGGAGUGAGUGACAAAAGUCACAGAUUGGGCACCCCAGUCCUAGGGACCUAGAAAGGGGAGAAGAAUCCCAUUGGCUGCUUGGAGGAUGGCUGGGACUAAAGGGAAAGCUGUGAGAAGCCUGGACUCCACUCAUGAGUAGCACACAUGCUGACUCAGGCAGGGGAGAGAGAGUGGAAAAAGGUUUC